UGAUCGUGUGGCUAAGGCAAGCUUUGUUGUUUUGCUGCCGAGGGGCUAACGUCUCUGCUGACGUCUGUUUAUGCAGUGAUUACUGCCUCAGUAGUUCUUGUUGAGCGUGUUUAUUUUCUCUGUUAUUGAUGUGAUGUGUUGGGGGGCUUUCGUCGUUUUAUUCUCGUGGCCGCCGACGUCGUAAAGAGGCUAACGUCUCUGCUGACGCCUGUUUAUGCAGUGAAUAUUGCCUCAGAAGUUCUUGCUGAGUGUGUUUAUUUUCUCUGUUAUGAUGUGUUGGGGGGCUUUCGUCGUUGUAUUCUCGUGGCCGCCGUCGUCGUCGUGAAGAGGCUAACGUCUCUGCUGACGCCUGUGCUUGCAGUGACCAUUGGCUUAGUAGUUCUUGUUGAAUGUGUUUAUUUUCUCUGUUAUUGAUGUGAUGUGUUGGGGGGCUUUCGUCGUUUUAUUCUCGUGGCCGCCGACGUCGUGGAGAGGCUAACGUCUCUGCUGAAGCCUGUACAUGCAGUGACUGUUGCCUCAGUAGUUCUUAUUGAGUGUGUUUAUUUUCUCUGUUAUUGAUGUGAUGUAUUGGGGGGCGCUUUCGUCGUUGUAUUCUCGUGGCGGCCGACGUCGUCGUCGUGCACAUGUUAUUAUAAUCUUCGCCAAUUGAUCGUGUGGCGCAAAUGAAGUCUUAUCUUCUUUCUUUCUUUCGUAAAACCCUCUCUGGCCUGAAGAGUGAGUGGCUGGUUUUGUUGGCUGACUUGCUGACUGGCUAUCUAACUGGCCAAGUUUGAUAUAUGGAUUAUGAUACGUUUCGUGCGACGUCUUUUUGCUGGUGUUGUUCGAUUGAUUUUUGUGUGUUCAGUGGGAGAGUUACGUUAUAUUACCAGGUGUCGAUAGUCUUCGUUCAUUCAGUACGCGGCAUGUUGAUGUAAAGUGAAGACGGGUCGGCCUACCAAACAACGAAUUCGGAAAAAAACAACUCACGAAAAGUAUUGUAUGGAAAUUGAAUGAAAGAAAAAGAAAAAAAAAACGCGGGAUUAUUUUUCUUUAAGAAAACAAAAUAAAAAUUUGAAAAAAAUAAAAUAAAAAUAAAUUCGAAAGAAAAAACACAAUUUUGUGUUGUAAAAGAGUAAAAAGGAAAUAACGAAUUUAUUAAGCAUUUACCGCAAUACAAAAAAUCCCAAAGCCCAAGUGAAGUUAGUUUUGAAACCAAAAAAAAAAAAAAAAUAAUUUUGUUAAAGCAGCAAAUUAUAACCUCCAGCCAGCAACAAAAAAACAACAACAACAAGGCAGCCAAUGUAAUUAUUCACAUCCAUAUCAACGGUCCGGUGACUAAAGCCUUUGACUUCGAGUCAAUAGACGAAAGUAGCAAAUAGAGUUCUAAGACCAAAAAAUAAUAAUAACAAAAAAAAAAACAAAAGAAAUUAAAAACAAAACCAAAUCCAUGUACACAAUCAGCAACUUUUCACACACAAAUACUACUACACAACCUUGCCCCCACUACACGCCCUUCAACAACGCUUGCGUAAACCCUGACAUGUAAAGGUUUUACAACACCGGCAGACACCAGCACCAAAAA
rnacentral:sRNA from 1 species